CAGCAGCCGCGGUAAUACAGAGGGUGCAAGCGUUAAUCGGAAUUACUGGGCGUAAAGCGCGCGUAGGUGGUUUGUUAAGUUGGAUGUGAAAGCCCCGGGCUCAACCUGGGAACUGCAUCCAAAACUGGCAAGCUAGAGUACGGUAGAGGGUGGUGGAAUUUCCUGUGUAGCGGUGAAAUGCGUAGAUAUAGGAAGGAACACCAGUGGCGAAGGCGACCACCUGGACUGAUACUGACACUGAGGUGCGAAAGCGUGGGGAGCAAACAGGAUUAGAUACCCGUGUAGUCCCUGUCUCUUAUAU
rnacentral:rRNA from 1 species